UGGUUCGGGUCGGGUCCAGUUGGA
rnacentral:siRNA from 1 species